rnacentral:rRNA from 1 species
GGACCCGCACAAGCGGUGGAUUAUGUGGAUUAAUUCGAUGCAACGCGAAAAACCUUACCUACCCUUGACAUGUCCGAGAGCUCGCUGAGAGGCGGGUGUGCCCGAAAGGGAAUCGGAACACAGGUGCUGCAUGGCUGUCGUCAGCUCGUGUCGUGAGAUGUUGGGUUAAGUCCCGCAACGAGCGCAACCCUUGUCAUUAGUUGCUACAUUCAGUUGGGCACUCUAAUGAGACUGCCGGUGACAAACCGGAGGAAGGUGGGGAUGACGUCAAGUCCUCAUGGCCCUUAUGGGUAGGGCUUCACACGUAAUACAAUGGCGCGUACAGAGGGUUGCCAAGCCGCGAGGUGGAGCCAAUCCCUUAAAGCGCGUCGUAGUCCGGAUAGGAGUCUGCAACUCGACUCCUUGAAGUCGGAAUCGCUAGUAAUCGCGGAUCAGCAUGUCGCGGUGAAUACGUUCCCGGGUCUU